CAGCAGUAGCCGCGGUAAAACGGAGGGUGCUAGCGUUGUUCGGAAUCACUGGGCGUAAAGGGCGCGUAGGCGGCCUGUUAAGUCGGAUGUGAAAGCCCGGGGCUCAACCCCGGAACUGCAUCCGAGACUGGCAGGCUUGAGACCGGGAGAGGAGGGUGGAAUAUCCAGUGUAGAGGUGAAAUUCGUAGAUAUUGGAUGGAACACCGGUGGCGAAAGCGGCUCUCUGGCCCGGAUCUGACGCUGAGGCGCGAAAGCGUGGGGAGCAAACAGGAUUAGAUACCCCCGUAGUCCCUGUCUCUUAUAC
rnacentral:rRNA from 1 species